ACAGCAGCAGCCACGGGAAUACAGAGGGUGCGAGCGUUAAUCGGAUUUACUGGGCGUAAAGCGUGCGUAGGCGGCUUUUUAAGUCGGAUGUGAAAUCCCUGAGCUUAACUUAGGAAUUGCAUUCGAUACUGGGAAGCUAGAGUAUGGGAGAGGAUGGUAGAAUUCCAGGUGUAGCGGUGAAAUGCGUAGAGAUCUGGAGGAAUACCGAUGGCGAAGGCAGCCAUCUGGCCUAAUACUGACGCUGAGGUACGAAAGCAUGGGGAGCAAACAGGAUUAGAUACCCCCGUAGUCCCUGUCUCUUAUAC
rnacentral:rRNA from 1 species